rnacentral:rRNA from 14 species
UAGCGUAUAUUUAAGUUGCUGCAGUUAAAAAGCUCGUAGUUGGAUUUCGGGUGGGGCCUGCCGGUCCGCCGUUUCGGUGUGCACUGGCCGGGCCCACCUUGUUGCCGGGGACGGGCUCCUGGGCUUCACUGUCCGGGACCCGGAGUCGGCGAGGUUACUUUGAGUAAAUUAGAGUGUUCAAAGCAGGCCUACGCUCUGAAUACAUUAGCAUGGAAUAACACGAUAGGACUCUGGCCUAUCCUGUUGGUCUGUAGGACCGGAGUAAUGAUUAAGAGGGACAGUCGGGGGCAUUCGUAUUUCAUUGUCAGAGGU